rnacentral:lncRNA from 1 species
UCAGCCACUUACUUAGCUAUUUAACUUUUCUGUUGUUUCAAUUUUUUCUGCUAUUUAGCUUUUUCAGUCAAGCAACGUGUUUGCUUUUGCACAAUUGCAGCAAAGGACAGCUGACGAUUUUAGUGGCUGCACCUUGUGUUAAACAGCUUUUCCUUCAAUUUUUUCUGCUAUUUAGCUUUUUCAGUCAAGCAACGUGUUUGCUUUUGCACAAUUGCAGCAAAGGACAACUGACAAUUUUAGUGGCUGCACCUUGUGUUAAGCAGCUUUUCUUUAUUUUAAUAUUUUACCUAUUACUUUUAUAUUGUUAGUUGAUAUGGGAC